GCCAGCAGCCAUGUCACCCUGCAACUCACAUCUGGCAGCUCACUGGAGCUCAGCAGGUGUGAGCCUGGUCAGUACCUGGAUGGGAGACCUCCUGGGAAAAACUAAGGUGCUGCUGGAA
rnacentral:rRNA from 1 species